UCUGACUUUCUUUUUAUUCAUUCAUUCAUUCAUUCAUUCACUUGCCUGGAAGUUUCUCCUAAUAUUAUCUUAACCUCCUGGUUUUGUGGCUUCCAUUGAGUGCCAGCUAAUAUCACACUUUUCACAACAAGUCUUUACUGAAAUUCCCCUUCAUUCUAGUGCCUUUCCUCUGUUGAUGAUUUCUCCAAUUUCUCUGAUCUAUACCUUGUUUGUCCACAGUUUGUAAGUUGUCUCAUCCUUUAGACAAUAAUCUCCACGAGGGGUGGGACUGUUUUCUGCUUUUCUUUGUUUGCUCAUCCUUAGUACAGGACAUGCUACAUGGUGGGCACUAAAUGGAUGCUUAUUGACUGAUUCUCUGUGAAGGAGAAGGGAGGGAGAAGGAAUCCUUCUGUAUCCUCUUCAUCUAUUUGCUGGGGAGGGGGGAAGAGAGAGAGGUGGGAAAGAGGAAGAGUCAAUCCCUCAUGGAAUUCAGGCUCAGGAUUCGCCAAGGAAAUCUGUCUGAAUUUCUCUCCCUCCAGGUGAGGACAUCACCCUAUAUGAAAACAAUAUUUGCCUACAAGGUUCACUUCUGCCUGCACAGGACCUGGGCUCCUCUCCUGCUUUUCCUGAAGUCCCACUUGAGAGUUCCUAUCAGGUAUGUACUUACAAAAGGACCAGACUCAGUCAAGGAUCAAGAGAAAGGUCAAAAUGCUGGUUGAGGAUAAAGGUCUUGCUGCUGAAACAGGGAACAGGAAUAGGUCCAGAAUGGAGGGAAGUGAAGUCAUGGUUGGGAAGGAAGCUUCUUAGUCAAAACCUCUAUUCUGGGAUACCAGCAAUAUUUCUUUCUCUAUCCCCAGACACUGGACAUCACCAGAGUAGAUGUUUAUGACAAGAUUUAUCCCUGGAAGCCUAAAGCUUAAGGAAGUGGGGAAAGUCCCAAGGCAAGUUGUGACAACCCUUCUGUUUCCAUUCAUGAAGGAGGGUUCAGAGGUAUCUCUCAAGAGAAAAAGCUGAGAUCUUGGGAUCAAUAGGGAAAACUUACCAGGAAAGAGAGAAAAGGAUGGGUUUUCAGAGAGGAAAGGCUCCCAUGAACCCAGGGAACCCCCAGACAUCCCAGAAAGGAUCAAGAAGAAUGAAAGAUGCCAGAGUUUGAAUGUGCCUGAGCUGGUCAGAAGACAAGAUGCGACAUGCUCUGUUGCUCUCUAAGUGCUUUAGUAUUGAAUGUCUUCAUAUUUUCCUGUCUUCUUUAUCUACCUAAAAAUCCUUUUGGAAACUUCCACACUUAUUCCUACUAAACUUGGGAGUCAAUGAUCCAUCAUAUUUCCCUGGUCUAAAAUGCUGAGAUUCUCAGAGUCAAAGAGUCCAUGGUCUUAUGCUCUGAGGUUCCAUGGAAUCAGGAAAUUCUGCCACUCAACAACAUGACCUCAAAGUUGGAUCACCAGAGGCAGAAGUGGUUGAUGGUUGUGUAAAUCCCUACAGAGUAUGAAGAAAUCCAGCCAAAGAAGAAUAAUGGCAAUUGCAGAGAGUAUGGAUGCUCAUGGCUGAAAGAAAUGGGCAGUAUUGAGUUCUAAUGAUAGUGACUCCUAGAGCCCAAUAGUGAACUCUACUUAUGGAGAAUUUUCCAACAGGAAAAAAAGGAUAUCCAUAGUCAGAAUCUGGGUGGCACCCUGUAAUGUCUGGGCUAGCUUUCUGGGGGUCCUCAGGAUGGGCCUUAGUCUCAGUAAGAUAGUCACCAUGGGGAUGGUCAGGAAUAGACUCUAUCUCCUUCAUAGUCUGUUCUCUCUGACUGACUGACUGUGUCCCCAGUUCUCUCUGCCCUUAAAUGCCCUAUUAUAAUUACAUCAUUACAGCAUACUAAAUAUGUGUGAACUAGAGAACCAUUACAUCACCAUAUUAAGUACUAAAUAUAUGUAAACUAGAGAACCAUUAUCUCAUCAAUUCCACUGAGUUAACACCUUGUUGUAAGUAUCCUUGUUUCAAGUAUACUUCUCCAGAAUUCCAUUCCUCUACAGCACCCUUAUCUAGAGUAAUCCUCCACAUAGGCCUCUCACUACCAUUUUAUUUACAUUUUAUUGUACCCACUCCUUUCAGGGAAACUAUUUAUGGAAAAAUGCACCCCAAAUUUUGGGGGUUUGAGGGGAUAUUUUGUAACACUAGUUCUUACUAUUCUUUCUCAGUAAAUAAUUGUGUUCUCAAUAAUUAUCUUUCUCUUGGAUUGUUAAUGGAAGAAAUCUUUCUUCCAUGAUCAAGUGAGGCUAUAGGAUCAGAUUAUCUCUGUUAUAGUGGUUGCUUAGUUAAAUCAGAAACUUCAUAAGCCCAUGGACCGUAGCACUUCAGGCCUUUUUAUCCUCCACUAUCUCUCAUAAUCUUCCAUGGCACUAUCCAUCCUCUGUCAUUCUCCCUUUUUUCCUUCAAUAUUGCCCAAGAUCAGGAUUUUUUCCAGUGAGUUUUGUCUUCUCAAUCUAUGUUCAAAGCAUUUAAGCUUUAGCUUUAGUAUUUGAUAUUCUAGUAAAUAGAAUUUAUUUGAUUUAGUAUAAACAGCUUUGACCCCUUUGCUGUCCAACAAUACUCAAAAGUCUUCUCUAGCACCACAAUUCAAAAGCAUCAAUUCUACAAUAUUCAGCUAUCCUUAUAGUCCAACUCGGAGUCAUAUAUUGUUACAAAACAAAGCUAUGGUUAUAUGACUUUUGUUGGCAAGAUGAUGGCUUUGCUUUGUAGUAUGCAUCCAGAUUAGCCAUAGAUUUUCUUUCAAUGGGGCAAGUAUCUUUUCUUUUCGUUUUUUUCUUUUUUUUUCUUUUUGCUGAGACAAUUGAGGUUAAGUGACUUGCCCAGGGUCACACAGCUAGGAAGUGUUAAGUGUCUGAGACCAAAUUUGAACUCAGGUCCUCCUGACUUCAGCGCUGGUGCCCUAACCACUGUGCCACUUAGCUGCCUCGAGCAAGUAUCUUUUAAUUUAAUGACUGAAUUCACUGUCUGCAGUGAAUUUUUUAGUCUAAGAAUAUAAAACCUCAAGUAGGAUUUACACCAGGAAUGCAGAACUAGCUCAAUAGCAGGAAAACUAUUAGCAUAAUUGACUAUGUCAAUAACCAAACUAACAAAAAUCAUAUGGUUAUCUCAAUAGAUACAAGAAAAAAAACCACUGGAUAAAAUUCAGCACCCAUUUUUAUUAAAAAAACACUAGAGAAUAUAUACAUCAUCAGUUUCCUUAAAAUGAUCAGUUGCGAAUGGAUGUCCAUCAAUUGGAGAAUGGCUGAAUAAACUGUAUAUGAAUAUUAUGGAAUAUUACUGUUCUGUAAGAAAUGACCAACAGGAUGAUUUCAGAAAGGCCUGGAGAGACUUACACGAACUGAUGCUGAGUGAAAUGAGCAGGACCAGGAGAUCAUUAUAUACUUCAACAACAAUACUAUAUGAUGACCACUUCUGAUGGACCUGGCCAUCCUCAGCAACGAGAUCAACCAAAUCAUUUCCAAUGGAGCAGUAAUGAACUGAACCAAGUAUGCCCAGAGAAAGAACUUUGGGAGAUAACUAAAAACCAUUACAUUGAAUUCCCAAUCCCUAUAUUUAUGCCCACCUGCAUUUUUGAUUUCCUUCACAAGCUAAUUGUACAAUAUUUCAGAGUCUGAUUCUUUUUAUACAGCAAAAUAAUGUUUUGGUCAUGUAUACUUAUUGUGUAUCUAAUUUAUAUUUUAAUGUAUUUAACAUCUACUGGUCAUCCUGCCAUCUAGGGGAG
ensembl:lncRNA